UACAGAGGUUCCAAGCGUUGUUCGGAUUCACUGGGCGUAAAGGGUGCGCAGGCGGUCGGGUAAGUCUGAUGUGAAAUCUCCGGGCUCAACCCGGAAAGGGCAUUGGAUACUAUCCGGCUGGAGGGUUGCAGGGGGGACUGGAAUUCUCGGUGUAGCAGUGAAAUGCGUAGAUAUCGAGAGGAACACCCGUGGCGAAGGCAAGUCCCUGGACAACUCCUGACGCUCAUGCACGAAAGCUAGGUGAGCAAACAGG
rnacentral:rRNA from 1 species